rnacentral:lncRNA from 1 species
AAUUAUUAUUUUCUUAGAAAUGUUAUGUAUUUAAUUGAUUAAUGUAAAUAAUCAAAUAAAUCAUUAAGUAAUUAAUAAAAUGGUUAUACUUUAUGCGGUAAAUUUUAUUGACUCUAUUUGAAUAGAAAAAAUUGAAGUAGUAAAUAAAAAAAACAAAUAUGAAAAAAAAAUAAAUAACCAACGAUGGAAUGAGCAUAUACAAAAUUCCAGAAUUUAGUCAUUUUAAAAAGAAAACAAUGAAUUCAAACUAAUUAUAAUUCAAGUUUGAAUCCCACCUUUUGUUCCUUACACAACGUGACCCAAUAUAAGGAAAUCAACAAAAAUCUUCUUUAUAAUAUCCAACCCAGACAUUCAAAUGGAUUAGAACGUGGAUUAGAUAUUAAGAUAAUUAUAAUUGGUCUUAAAAUUAUAUUUCUAAUUUAUCCUUAAUGAAUGUUAAAAACCAAAUUUAAAAUACAG